AGUGAACGCUGGCGGUAGGCCUAACACAUGCAAGUCGAACGGCAGCACAGUAAGAGCUUGCUCUUACGGGUGGCGAGUGGCGGACGGGUGAGGAAUACAUCGGAAUCUACUUUUUCGUGGGGGAUAACGUAGCGAAACUUACGCUAAUACCGCAUACGACCUACGGGUGAAAGCAGGGGAUCUUCGGACCUUGCGCGAUUGAAUGCGCCGAUGUCGGAUUAGCUAGUUGGCGGGGUAAAGGCCCACCAAGGCGACGAUCCGUAGCUGGUCUGAGAGGAUGAUCGGCCACACGGGAAGUGAGACACGGACCAGACUCCUACGGGAGGCAGCAGUGGGGAAUGUUAGACAGUGGGCGCAAGCCUGAUCCAGCCAUACCGCGUGGGUGAAGAAGGCCUUCGGGUUGUAAAGCCCUUUUGUUGGGAAAGAACAGCAGCAGGUUAAUACCCCGCUGUUCUGACGGUACCCAAAGAAUAAGCACCGGCUAACUUCGUG
rnacentral:rRNA from 1 species